UACGUAGGGUGCAAGCGUUAAUCGGAAUGACUGGGCGUAAAGGGUGUGUAGGCGGUUUGUUAAGUCUGAUGUGAAAUCCCCGGGCUCAACCUGGGAACUGCGUUGGAAACUGGCAAACUAGAGUACGUAAGAGGGGGGUGGAAUUCCACGUGUAGCAGUGAAAUGCGUAGAUAUGUGGAGGAAUACCGAUGGCGAAGGCAGCCCCCUGGGAUAACACUGACGCUCAUGCACGAAAGCGUGGGGAGCAAACAGG
rnacentral:rRNA from 1 species